UACGUAGGGGGCAAGCGUUGUCCGGAAUGACUGGGCGUAAAGGGCGCGUAGGCGGCCGCACAAGUCCGGAGUGGAAGUCCUGUUUUCAAGGCAGGAAUGGCUCUGGAAACUGUGAGGCUUGAGUGCGGGAGAGGUUAUCGGAAUUCCCGGUGUAGCGGUGAAAUGCGUAGAGAUCGGGAGGAACACCAGUGGCGAAGGCGGGUAACUGGACCGCAACUGACGCUGAGGCGCGAAAGUGUGGGGAGCAAACAGG
rnacentral:rRNA from 1 species